rnacentral:lncRNA from 1 species
GUUAUGAUCUAAUAAUGAAGGGCACAGCAGCAGGGUUACAGUAAGUGGUAAAUGGAUGUCUGUGUGAUCAGGGGACGUUCUUCUUCACUCACAGAGACAAACACUUGUCAUUUCCUGUAAAUAUGAAGGGGAGGAGACACCUGACAAUAAAACAAUAAAAGUAAAAGUGUUCACAGUUCAGACUUCAGAGUGAGUCAGCACAGAGAGAAACAAGGACACUUGUAACAGGGUGAGUGUUAAUUCAGUGUUACUGUUUGGUUUUCAGAGUCUGUCGUUCAUCAGAAGUGGGUUUUUUUUACACUUAAAAAAGCUAAGCAGAGAAAAUUGAUCAGAUAUGUUGUUGGAUUAAUUCCUCGUCCAGUAAACUGUGAGUGUGCUGUUCUUCCUGUUUCUCUGCCUUUGGUGAGAUGAGCCCAAAAUCACCCUUCAUAUUUUUGUGAACUUUAACAGACUUCACCGAUUAUCUUUACACUGUGAGUCAGACAAGAAAUCCAAACUAAUGCUGUGUAAACUGAUCAAACAGGUGAUUUCAAACUCUGACAGACCCUCCAACUUUCUGUCAGGAUUCACUUCUCUGAGCUCACAGCCAUCAUUACUGCUUUUUCAGACUCAGAGGACUUUAGGAGAGAACAGGUCUGGAUGUUUGGUAUUAAAGUUUGUAGUCAAAGUUUCUCAGAUACUGUAAUAACACCUGAAACCUCUAACCAACAUUAUCACUUAAUACAGCCACAAUAAAACAACUGAAGGUGACCAAAGGUUGUUUUUCAAACACUGUAAAGAUAUUCAUGCUGUUGUUUUAUCUUCUAUUCGACCAUAAAGCUGGUCCAAAGUACUUUUAUUGCUGUUAAAUAUCAGCCUAUCAGUUUAUAUUCAAGGUCCAAAGUCUUAUGAAUGAACAGGAUUCAGUGCAGGACUGUAACAGAUCAGGACAAUAAAUGAAUCAUUUACAGAAAAAGACAAGAGUCAUUAGAGGUCAAACAAACCCCAAAGAGAUGAGGAACUAAAUACUACUGACUGAAUAAUACAUUUAAUAACUUCUGAAGGACUGAUCAUAAUGAACCAGAGUCUACUAUUACUACAGUAUGGGUUUAGUUAAUGUUACUGAUGUUUUUUUCUUGUGUUGAAUGAAGUCUGAAUUUCCUGAGUUUUAGGAUCAGAGCAGAAAAUCACCUCAUUCCCAGAGUCCGGCCAAAAAAACGUUAAAUUUAUGUUCCUCUGUGUUUGAACCAGAGACAUUCAGCUUUUACAGUAAAUGACUGUAAAGAGUCAAAUUAAAGUCCAAAACAGCUUUGUUUUCUGUAACCGGUUAAAAAGAAGAAUCAGUCAAGAAUAAAACAAUCAAUGAACAUGAACAAUACUUGAUAAUACAGAAGAUUGUAAAGAAAUGUGAUUUCAGACUCUUUGACUCGAUCAUAUUAGACUGGAUAAGAAAUAACCAAUCAGGACCUUUAUGAUUUAAAAUAAGAGGUAGUGUGCAGACAGAUCUUUGACAUAAUGAGAUGUAGAAACUUGAUCAUCUUCAUCUUCACUCUCUUCCUGUUUGUGUCUCACCUGUUUGUCUUCUUUGUCCUCAGGUUGUAUAACUCGGUUUCAUCUUCCAUAAAUUUGCUCAACAUCAGAUGGAGAAGAUGAGUGAUGGUGUCCAGGAAGAGGAGGGCAGAGCAACGUCUGUCAUGUCCGACUGUCUGUCUAUGAAGAGUGACCGGUCAAAAGGUCAACCACUGAACUUCAGUAAAGAACCAGGACCCUCAGAGGAGGGCGGAGCAAAGUCUGUCAGGUUAGACUGUCUGUCUAUGAAGAGCGACUUGUCUAAAGGUGAACCACUGCACUUCAGUAAAGAACCAGGACCCCCAGAUUCACAGUAAGAGAAACACUUUUUAACCUCCAAACUCUUAAACAGUAAUUUAUGAUGCUCUAAAUUCUGACCCCUCUGUUUUCUACCAUGGUGAGAAAAAUGAUCUUAAACGCUGAUUUUCCUGUUGAAAGUCACUGAGCACAGAUUUACUUAUUUCUAAUGUUUAUAAAAAUGAAGGUGGUAUAAAACAGCAUUUGAAGAGGAUUCUGACCUCUGUAUUUUCUGAUUUGGUUCCUGUGUUUGGGACGUUUUGAGCCUGUUAGUCUUUGGACUGUGGUGUAUAGACCCCAGAAAACAGUCUGAGGGUCAGAAAAUACCAGAAGACCAAAGAAGAAAUAAAUCCUGAGAAAUAAAAACUCAUUCAAACAUCUGUCUGUUAUUAGACCUUUAGAUCUGAUUGUUAAAAAAAUGUUUGAAACUGUCAGAGAAAAUCUCUCGACCUUCAAAAAUCACAGUUUGGUUUUUUCUCCUGUCUCCACACUUUGAGGCAGCAGCAGCUGAAUAUUUUACUGUUUUAUGUUCGAGAAAAGAGAAACUCUGGUUUAAUAAAUGUUUCUUAUUCUGAAUCUUUCAAACAUGAAAUGAUAAAGAAAAUAAAUGUUCUUUAUUUCCACAGAGAGACACAGAGAUGUGACUCUGUGGAGGAGCAGCUGUCCAGCUCUGAUGGAAGUAAGUCUGAACAUCUGUCCUCUAAAGUCUGUGUGGAUGAAAACUCAGCUGACUGAUUUUCACAAAGACGUUUUAGUGUUGAGAAGUUUGGUUCAUUUUAUUUUUCUUCUCUUUCAGAAGAUGGUGGUCUGCAGGAGGUUUUAGAUGAACAUAAGAUCAGUCUGAAGAGGAGAUGUGAACGUGUGAAUGAAGGAAGUGAUGAAACAGGAAGUAGUCAAACCCUCCUCAACAGGAUCUUCACUGAGCUCUACAUCACAGAGGGACUGAGUGAAGAGGUGAACACCCAACAUGAGGUGAGACAGCUGGAGACAGCUUCAAAGAUGAAGACCCUCCAUGACACGCCCAUCAGGUGUCAUGAGAUCUUUCAAACCUUACCUGACCAACAGAAGAAGCUCAUCAGAGUGGUUCUGACCAACGGUGUGGCUGGUGUUGGAAAAACCUUCUCAGUGCAGAAGUUCACUCUGGACUGGGCAGAGGGUUUGGAGAACCAAGACCUCCAUCUGGUGGUCCUGCUUUCAUUCAGGGAGCUGAACCUGAUCAGAGAUGAGCGCUUCAGUCUUCUGAAUCUGCUCCAUGUUUUCCAUCCAACACUAGAGAAGGUCACAGCAGAGACGCUGGCUGUCUGUAAACUUCUGUUCAUCUUUGACGGUCUGGAUGAAAGCAGACUGUCUCUGGAUUUCACAGACUCUGAGGUGGUGUCUGACGUCACACAGAAGUCUUCACUCAACGUUCUGUUAACAAACCUCAUCAAGGGGAACCUGCUCCCCUCAGCUCUCAUCUGGAUAACUUCUCGACCUGCAGCAGCCAAUCAGAUCCCUCCUUCAUGUGUGGACAGGGUGACAGAAGUACGAGGCUUCACUGACGCCCAGAAGGAUGAGUACUUCAGGAAGAGGUUCAGAGAUAAAGAUCUGUCCAGAAGAAUCAUCUCACACAUCAAGUCCUCCAGGAGCCUCCACAUCAUGUGUCAGAUCCCGGUCUUCUGCUGGAUCACUGCGACAGUUCUGGAGGACAUGAUGAUCAGAGAGCAGAGAGGAGAACUGCCCAAGACCCUGACUGACAUGUACUCACACUUCCUGCUGGUCCAGACUAAGAGGAAGAAGCAGAAGUAUGAAGGAGGACAUGAGACAAGUCCUCAGGAGCUGACGAAGGCUGACAGAGAAGUCCUCCUGAAGCUGGGGAGGCUGGCCUUUGAACAUCUGGAGAGAGGAAACAUCAUGUUCUACCAAGAAGACCUGGAGCGGUGUGGUCUGGAUGUCUCAGAGGCCUCGGUGUACUCAGGAGUUUGUACAGAGAUCUUCAGAAGAGAGAGUGUGAUCUUCCAGAAAACUGUUUACUGUUUCGUUCAUCUGAGCGUUCAGGAGUUUCUGUCUGCAGUCUACAUGAUCCACAGUUUCACAAACAGGAACACAGAAGCUCUGGAGACUUUCCUAAACACAGAAGAUCUGAAGACUUUCCUAAGAGACAACAAACACAAAGAC